AAGACAAAAAGCAAAAUAAGUAAUAACUAGUUAAAAAAGGAUGGCGAGGAUAUAAUGAGUAGAAAAAGGGCAGGAGAACAAGUGACAAUAAGGACCAAACCUCAGCCAUCAAGACUUAAAUUAGGUGAAAAGCAAAGUGCAUCUCACCUGGGAGCAGGAAAGAGAUCCGAUGAGAGGAGCCAUUCUCAUCAAAAUUGAACUAUAUUGAUAAACAACAAAAAGUGGAAAUGUCGCCAAUGGCACUUGAAAAGCUUGAUCAUAAUAACCAUGGUUUGGAUUCAGGUUCUGAAGGAAGUGAUAAGCACAGAACUAAGCAUAAGGAGAAGAGAAAGCAUAAAAGGCGUGAAGUUACGUCAGAUGACGAUUCUAGUUAUGAUUCUGAAAUUGAGGAUAGGAAAGAAGCUAAGAUGAGGAAGGAAGAAAAAAGACUAAGAAAGGAGGAGAAGCGUAGAUGUUGUGAGGAGUGAAGUCGCAAAAGAGAAGAGUGGCGUGCGGAGAAGCUGAAAAUGAAAGGGCAAGAUGAUGAUGGUGAGGUGGAAAGUCUCAUCCAAGUUUUGAUGAAGAGGCAGAGACUAAGCAGAAGAAGCUUGAAAUUGAGCUAAGGAAAAGGGCACUUGAAUCACUCAAAGCAAAGAAGGGCAUCACUGGCUGAAGCUAUUGUGUUUAGGACACUAAAAUGUUAUUUCAUCUUUGUUAUUGUUGAGCAGAUAUUUGUAUUUUUAAAGUUUGAUUGGACUUAUUUUUCAAGUGCAGUGUCUUUAUAUUUAUUAUGGCUUAAUGUAGUUUGUGUUUACCGCUGGCAACUUGAUUGGAUAAAUGAGGAUUUCUUGAGCUAUUCUCUUGAGUACAA